rnacentral:sRNA from 1 species
UCAGAUAAAUACCAAUUAUUAGCUAUAAUUUCGAUGAAUUACUAUCGAAUUGUUUAUAGGGAAUUUAAUGAAAAAAACCCUCAAUUUUGGCCAGAUCCAUUUUUAAACCCUGAACUAUGUUUUUAGUAAAACAAACCCUGAACUAAAACCUGUUAAUAAACUUAACCCUACAGUAAUUAAAUAUUAAUGGGAUAUUAAUUUCCAAAAAUCGACCAAAGAACAAUGACAGAAUCCGUGAUCCAACUGAAGAUCGUCCACCUCAAAAAGUUCCUUAUACACGUGAAAAAGUUCAAAUGGUAAAAUAGAAAACAAUGAAUUAUGUUUCACAAGAUCUUCUUUUUCAAAUUAUUUAAUUUAAUCUUUGCAUAUUUAGACUUGCAGCAACUGUCAACAAGUCGGACACAACAAACGUUCAUGCAAGCGUAAAGCAGUGCCAAAACCACCCAAGAAACCUCAAGGACGACCAAGGAAAAAACAGAAAACAAUGGAUGAAGAGAACCCUAUCACUCAGCCAAUACAAUCUUCUCUUCAAAGUUAAUGCUUGACAAGUCUUUACUUUAGAAUAUCUUGUCCCUCUGAAACGAUUGUUUUUUUUUGUGACAAAUAUUGUUGUGUUGCAACAGGUUCGAUAGUUAUGUUGGUUGGAUUUAUUUAAGCAUGACUCUUUAGAUUAUUUUAAGUUGUUGUGUCUUUCUUUCAGCUUCUAAAAUCCAAACUAAUUAAGCAAUUCAAAAUCAUUUAGAACGUUUUUUUGUAAUAAAUUCAAAACAGUUUUAAAGAACAUCAUGUGGUUUUUGCGCUAAAUACAAAUGUCUCGUUGUUUUUUUUUUUAGAAAUUAAUAUCCCAUUAAUAUUUAAUUACUGUGGGGUUAAGUUUAUUAACAGGUUUUAGUUCAGGGUUUGUUUUACUAAAAACAUAGUUUAGGGUUUAAAAAUGGAUCUGGCCAAAGUUGAGGGUUUUUUUCAUUAAAUUCCCUUGUUUAUAUUCCGGACAAAGUUAAACCCCUCAUGCAGUUGUUCCAAUUUUUUUUUCCAUUUGUUCCAAUUAUUAGUAGAAUAGAA